rnacentral:rRNA from 1 species
UACAGAGGUGGCAAGCGUUGUUCGGAAUUACUGGGCGUAAAGGGCGCGUAGGCGGCCAUCUAAGUCAGACGUGAAAUCCCCAGGCUCAACUUGGGAACUGCGUCUGAUACUGGAUGGCUUGAAUUCGGGAGAGGGAUGCAGAAUUCCAGGUGUAGCGGUGAAAUGCGUAGAUAUCUGGAGGAAUACCGGUGGCGAAGGCGGCAUCCUGGACCGAUAUUGACACUGAGGUGCGAAAGCGUGGGGAGCAAACAGG